UAAGUUGUAGAUGAACAGAGUACU
rnacentral:piRNA from 1 species